rnacentral:lncRNA from 1 species
UCUAAGGUCGUGGGGCAGCCGGACCCGAGCCUGGGGCGAAACGGGAGCUGAAGUUGGCGCCCAGGAAGAGGGACUGGGCGACUACCCGGAGUCGGACCGGGAGUCCGAGCGGGGUCAGUCAGAGUCGGAGGGGAAGCCGGAGCCGGGCCGGGGCCAGACGGCGCAGCUCGAGGUCUGGGUCCGGGUCGGUGGAGGUCCCGGGGUGGGACCAAGGACCGAAUCGAGGCCGGUCUGGGCGUCAGGGCAGCCCUCGGAGCGGCGAUCGUUGCUGGAUAAGGGGCCGCAGCCACCCCGGCGUGGGUUGGAAGGACGCACCCCUGCUGGGGCGAAACCCCGAAUCCGUAGCCGUCUGCCCGCGACUGCCAAGCCGACCGCCUGAAAGGGCCGCUGUCCCGCGCCUUCCAGUGGCUGGGGUGGUGGUGGGCACCCCGAUCUUCCUCUGGCGCCCAUGAUGCUGCCGGCCGCGCUGGGCUCCGGCUUCCUUUACCUGCCCGAGGACGAAGAAGGUCUGGAGGAGCCGUGCGCCCAGGGGAGCCCGGCCAAGGCUGAGUGGGCUUCAUGCGGGGCCAUUUCACCACCACCGACUCCUACCGCUUCUCCAGGAGGCGCCCCGAGGCCAAUUUCGCCUCCAUUUUGGUGGUCUCCCACAGCGACUUAUAGCUGGAACCAGAUACCUUUGCCGAAGUUGGUAAAUUGGGCAGCCUGAUGCAGGAUCUGCAGGUCCCAAGGGGAAACGGAAGCCACAUCCAGUACCAGCAGGUGUCCCUGAGGCACCAGACGCUCUGUGUGCCCCCCAACCCGCUCCUGGAUGCCUGGCAGGUGGACAAAACGCUUGACCUGAGCAGCAUCACCUUCCCCAUCUACAACCACAGCGGGCAUCUUGUCUUCCUGACCGGCUUCUUUGGAAGACACAUCUUGGGGGACAGCUUGGGAAUGGGCCAGUUACUUCUGCAGGCCAAAGCCAUGCAGCUGCUGUACUACCUGAAGACCCAGCACCGGAGGACAACGUGCAGAGCAAGCAGUGGCUCACCCAUUUCCUCCACCAAUUUAACAAUAUUAACAACAGUCUGGUCAUGAAGAAAAUUGAGUGGUCCACUUCACAUUGCUUUCCAGACAACUGCAAUUUGAGGCAACUUCUAUGACAGUGAUCCCUUUGUUUCACCUGGCAUACAUUCUAAUCAUACUAUUUGCAGUCACAUCAUGCU